GUCAGUUUGAAAAUCUCCAUUUUUCAGGAUCUUCCUUUAUUUUUACAAAAACGAUGUGAAACGAAUGUACACGUGAAGUCGGCUAGCAAUUUUCAUCAUUUUAGAUCCUAUAGGUAAUACUUACAUUAUUUUUUGUCAUGAUAAGUUAUGUUUAUUCAUUUUUUCAAUGGUGUGGAUCCGUUAAAAUUCGGAGUAAACAUCGCAGUGAUGGUCGACUGUGCGUGUUGGAGAUACACUGAAUCUUUUGGAUUUAAAAGAAAGUACUUUGCACAAUGGAAUAAGGCAUACCGUACGAAGGAGAAAGAUGAACGCUCCAAACAAGCGGACCACUUUCGAUUUAAAUCUUAACUCCAGGUACUAAAAAAAGAGCAAGGCCCCUGUGAUGGGCGCCAAGCAAGCUCCAACCACAGAGAUCCAGUACAUGGCGCCGAACUGAUAAAUUUCCGCAGGAGUGCCCAGCAGCGUGGACGCCGAGAAGAAACUGGCCAGCACCGACAGCGACAGGGGCAGCCUGCCUGGACCUUGUAGGACAAGUACCUUCGAUCACCUCGCAUGUUGCCUGUGCCACCUCAUCCUAGCAAAGCUCCCACACAGGUUGUCUUAAAGGUUG